rnacentral:ncRNA from 1 species
GACAGUCAAGCGCAGGAAGUAGUAGAGGCCGCCGCAAGGUGGCAGCCCGAAAGGGUGGGAUCCUCGAACCUGGGGGCUGUCACCAA